UCCGUAGGUGAACCUGCGGAAGGAUCAUUACAGUAUUCUUUUUGCCAGCGCUUAAUUGCGCGGCGAAAAAACCUUACACACAGUGUUUUUUGUUAUUACAAGAACUUUUGCUUUGGUCUGGACUAGAAAUAGUUUGGGCCAGAGGUUUACUGAACUAAACUUCAAUAUUUAUAUUGAAUUGUUAUUUAUUUAAUUGUCAAUUUGUUGAUUAAAUUCAAAAAAUCUUCAAAACUUUCAACAACGGAUCUCUUGGUUCUCGCAUCGAUGAAGAACGCAGCGAAAUGCGAUAAGUAAUAUGAAUUGCAGAUUUUCGUGAAUCAUCGAAUCUUUGAACGCACAUUGCGCCCUCUGGUAUUCCAGAGGGCAUGCCUGUUUGAGCGUCAUUUCUCUCUCAAACCUUCGGGUUUGGUAUUGAGUGAUACUCUUAGUCGAACUAGGCGUUUGCUUGAAAUGUAUUGGCAUGAGUGGUACUGGAUAGUGCUAUAUGACUUUCAAUGUAUUAGGUUUAUCCAACUCGUUGAAUAGUUUAAUGGUAUAUUUCUCGGUAUUCUAGGCUCGGCCUUACAAUAUAACAAACAAGUUUGACCUCAAAUCAGGUAGGAUUACCCGCUGAACUUAAGCAUAUCAAUAAGCGGAGGA
rnacentral:rRNA from 1 species